GUUUGAUCAUGGCUCAGAACGUACGCUGGCGGCACGCCUAACACAUGCAAGUCGAACGAAGUAGCAAUACUUAGUGGCAGACGGGUGAGUAACAUGUAGGUAUCUACCCUUUGGCCUGGAAUAACACGAGGAAACUUGUGCUAAUACCGGAUAAGUCUUUACGGAGAAAGCUUUAUGCACCAUUGGAUGAGCCUGCACUUGAUUAGUUUGUUGGUAGGGUAAUGGCCUACCAAGACUUUGAUCAAUAGCUGAUUUGAGAGGAUGAUCAGCCACAUUGGGACUGAGACACGGCCCAAACUCCUACGGGAGGCAGCAGUGGGGAAUCUUGCACAAUGGAGGAAACUCUGAUGCAGCGAUGCCGCGUGAGUGAAGAAGGCCUUUGGGUUGUAAAGCUCUUUCGUCGGGGAAGAAAAUGACUGUACCCGAAUAAGAAGGUCCGGCUAACUUCGUGCCAGCAGCCGCGGUAAUACGAAGGGACCUAGCGUAGUUCGGAAUUACUGGGCUUAAAGAGUUCGUAGGUGGUUGAAAAAGUUGGUGGUGAAAUCCCAGAGCUUAACUCUGGAACUGCCAUCAAAACUUUUCAGCUAGAGUUUGAUAGAGGAAAGCAGAAUUUCUAGUGUAGAGGUGAAAUUCGUAGAUAUUAGAAAGAAUACCAAUUGCGAAGGCAGCUUUCUGGAUCAUUACUGACACUGAGGAACGAAAGCAUGGGUAGCGAAGAGGAUUAGAUACCCUCGUAGUCCAUGCCGUAAACGAUGUGUGUUAGACGUUGGAAAUUUAUUUUUCAGUGUCGCAGCGAAAGCGAUAAACACACCGCCUGGGGAGUACGACCGCAAGGUUAAAACUCAAAUGAAUUGACGGGGACCCGCACAAGUAGUGGAGCAUGUGGUUUAAUUCGAAGAUACGCGCAGAACCUUACCAACACUUGACAUGUUCGUCGCGACUUUAAGAGAUUAAAGUUUUCGGUUCGGCCGGACGAAACACAGGUGCUGCAUGGCUGUCGUCAGCUCGUGUCGUGAGAUGUUGGGUUAAGUCCCGCAACGAGCGCAACCCUCACUUUUAGUUGCCAUCAUUAAGUUGGGCACUCUGAAAGAACUGCCAGUGAUAAGCUGGAGGAAGGUGGGGAUGACGUCAAGUCCUCAUGGCCCUUACGUGUUGGGCUACACACGUGCUACAAUGGUAUUUACAAAAGGAAGCAAAACGGCGACGUUUAGCAAAUCCUAAAAAAAUACCUCAGUUCGGAUUGCACUCUGCAACUCGAGUGCAUGAAGCUGGAAUUACUAGUAAUCGUGGAUCAGCGUGCCACGGUGAAUGCGUUCCCGGGUCUUGUACACACCGCCCGUCACACCAUGGGAGUUGGUUCUACCUUAAGGCAAGGUUUAAAACCCUUGACCACGGUAUAGUCAGCGACUGGGGUGAAGUCAUAACAAAGGUAACCGUA
rnacentral:rRNA from 1 species